rnacentral:rRNA from 1 species
CAGCAGCCGCGGUAAUACCAGCGCCCCAAGUGGCAACCACGUUUAUUGGGCCUAAAGCGUUCGUAGCCGGUUACAUAAAUCUUCUGUGAAAUUGUAUCGCUCAACGGUACAGCGUGCAGGAGACACUGUGUAACUAGGGACCGGGAGGAGUCAGAGGUAUUUCAGGGGGAGCGGUAAAAUGCUAUAAUCCCUGGAAGACCACCUGUGGCGAAGGCGUCUGACUAGAACGGAUCCGACGGUGAGGGACGAAAGCCAGGGGAGCAAACCGGAUUAGAUACCCGAGUAGUCCUGGCCGUAAACUCUGCGGGCUAGGUGUCGCAGAUUCUUCGUGAAUCUGCGGUGUCGUAGCGAAGGCGUUAAGCCCGCCGCCUGGGGAGUAUGGUCGCAAGGCUGAAACUUAAAGGAAUUGGCGGGGGAGCACUACAAGGGGUGCGGCGUGCGGUUUAAUCUAAUUCAACGCAGAGAAUCUCACCAGGGGCGACGGCAGGAUGAAGGUCAGUCUAAAGGGCUUACCUGACGAGCCGAGAGGUAGUGCAUGGCCGCCGUCAGCUCGUGCCGUGAGGUGUCCUGUUAAGUCAGGUAACGAGCGAGACCCACAUCUCUAAUUGCUAACGGCCUUUGGGACCGAGCACCUUAGAGGGACUGCCUGGGAAACCAGGAGGAAGGUGUGGGCAACGGUAGGUCUGUAUGCUCCGAAUCUCCUGGGCUACACGCGCGCAACAAUGGUUGGGACAAUGGGACGCAACCCCGAGAGGGGAAGCCAAUCCUCUAAACCCUAUCUUAGUCCAGAUUGUGGCUUGGAACUCAGCCACAUGACGAUGGAAUCCCUAGUAAUCGGGUCUCAUCACAGCCCGGUGAAUAUGUCCCUGCCCCUUGCACAC